UACGGAGGGGGCUAGCGUUGUUCGGAAUUACUGGGCGUAAAGGGCGCGCAGGCGGCGGACCAAGUCAGGCGUGAAAGCCCCGGGCUUAACCUGGGAACUGCGUCUGGGACUGGUUGGCUAGAGUUCGGGAGAGGAGAGUGGAAUUCCCAGUGUGGAGGUGAAAUUCGUAGAUAUUGGGAAGAACACCGGUGGCGAAGGCGGCUCUCUGGACCGAGACUGACGCUGAGGCGCGAAAGCGUGGGGAGCAAACGGG
rnacentral:rRNA from 1 species